rnacentral:lncRNA from 1 species
ACAGAACUUGAGAGCUUGCGGCCAAGGGAAGUCGUUCAUCGGUGGACCGACAGCGCCCCGGGCGGCAGAAAGAAGGCGGCGGCGGCGGAGACCCGGGGAAGUUGCCGGAUUUUUAAAAAGGCACCUGCUGGUUGGACCCAGACUGACACUCUUGCCUGAGGGCACAGACCAGGGAGCAGCAAUCAAUACUGGACACCAGGCAGCUUCCACGCUUGACAGUGUUGCCAGACCCUCGCGUGGGCAGGAGGGCACAGCUCUCUAGGAGGCAACAUUAUCCACUGGAGCAUCUAGAAGCACAAGUACUUCCAUGAUGGUCAGAGGCAGAAGAGGAUGCGGAGCAGGGUAGAAGACUCUCAUGACUACCUGCACGCCACCAUCUUCCCCGGCCUGGCGCAAUUGCCUUCAGGAUAUGUACAGCAUGACCCACAGGGAUUUCACUUCAUGGAAUGCAAAACCAACCUGCAUGAGCUUUGUUUGAAAACAAAACAAAACAAAACGAAAACAAAACAAAACAAAACAGAGAAAUCCUAUCUAUAAAAUUACUCUUAAUGGAAAUUCUGCCUGUAUAAAAUUAAAGUGGCAGGUGAGAACCAUUUUCAGCUUGCUUAUGGGUCUCUUACAGAUUUUCCUUGAAGUUUCAUGUGUUCUAAUUCCCUGAUAUGGAGGGAAGAGACUACAGUUGUGUUUACCUCGAAUUAUCAUUCAAAUAGAGGUGGUGUUUUCCCCCAGUAAAAUUACUAAGGUAAAUUGCCUAUUUCUAUAUUUCUGGAAAAUACUUUUUUCCCCAAAAAGUCUUGCAUCUGCCUCAUUAUUGGAUCCAAACUACAGUGUCUAUUGCUAAUUUAACUUGGUAAGGCCAGACUUCCUCAAGCCCUUGCCUGUGUCAAAGUCAGCAAACAACCAGGUACCAAGAUUUCAGUGCUUCUGAGAACUACUCAGGUAAGGUCAAAGCCCAGACAUCCCAUUAAUCUCUAUAAACACAUGUGGGUGUUUAUUGUAAUCCUCAUAUCACCUCUGUGCACACACAUACACAAGGACAAGUGGCCUCAAUAUUCAGACAGUUGACAGUGUCACCAGAAGGCAGCAAAGAUCACCCUGCCACCAGCAUGAUUCGUUGUUUUUGGAGCUGGGCUGUUUUUCCUCCAUGCAGAGCCCUUAUCUACAGCUCUGAUUGCAAACUUCAUUUUCCCUACUGAAGAGGUAAUCUAAAUGAUAAUCAAGUUCACACGAUUUAUUAGGACAAUGCUUUCCAGAAGCCUAUUUUCUGAAGUCACCCCGAGCACUUUGAAGGAUGUUUUAGACAUUUGCUUCCCCUAUCUUAGAAACACCAAAACCAAGAG